rnacentral:piRNA from 1 species
UGGAGAGAAUUAUUCUGGAUAAGUUG